CCCUUAGAUGUCCUGGGCUGCACGCGCGCUACACUGAUGUGUCCAGUAAGCACCUAACCUAUUCCGAGAGGAGCGGGUAACCUUAGCAAAGCACAUCGUGAUGGGGAUAGAUUAUUGCAAUUAUUAGUCUUGAACGAGGAAUUCCUAGUAAGCACAAGUCAUCAGCUUGUGUUGAUUACGUCCCUGCCCUUUGUACACACCGCCCGUCGCUCCUACCGAUUGGAUGGUCCGGUGAAGCCUCGGGAUUGUGGUUCUUGCCGCUUUAUUGUGGCGUGACCGCGAGAACUUGUCUAAACCUUAUCAUCUAGAGGAAGGUGAAGUCGUAACA
rnacentral:rRNA from 1 species